UCGCGGAUUCCUUUCUUCUUCAGGGCUCAAAAUACAGAGACAGGACCCAUAGCCCUGGGUUCCCUUGGCAGCUUUGGCGAGACCCCACGGGUGGGUGGGACGAUAGAGGAGGAGGUUUGCUGCCAAAAGCUGCGGAAUUCUACCUCAGCUCGUCAAGUGGCCUGAUGGGGAAACUGGAGGGGCAGAGCGCGCGGGGAGCUGUAGCUCAGACCCAGAAACUUUGCAGUUUGUGGAAGGAGUGGUGGCUGCGAUGGUGUAGGAGCGGCCAAGAGGAGCUAACCCCACGUCCAAAGUAAGGAGCAGCGGCUGUGCUUUGCUGGAGCAGCCGUGAAGAGAUACCCCACGUCCAAGGAACAUGAUGCUGAGGAGUCAAGGCUUCACCAGACUGCCAAAGGGAUCUGCGGCACAAAAAUCUAAGAACCCUUGUUCCAACAUCAUCAUCAUCACAGGUUAAGAACGGUGCCUUACUCUAUUACAGGAGCCUCACAGAGCACAGCGUACAGAACAGAUGCUCAGCAUUUCUGGAAUUUUUUCGCAUAAGGCUUAUAUAAUUUGAAUUGAUAAUUCGAGGACUGUGACAUCUGCCAACCCCCUUUUUUUUUUCCCCCAUAAUAAGUAAAAUGUGAGAAGGACUAGGCGUGCCCUGUUCGGCAUUCUGGCUUCACGGUUCCUGGACGAGGAGAUAAAUAAGGAAGUGAUGUAAGAACAGUAGCUGAAUAUUUCAAGUAUCUUUGAUCUACUGCGCCAAGAUUAGAGAGCAGAGGAAGCUUCUCCAACGCGGCAGGGGAGGGGUGGAGAACAACUUUGUUAAAGACAGAGGCUGGUUUGGGCACC